rnacentral:misc_RNA from 1 species
GCCAAAAACUUGCAGAGGUUAAUGAAGAAUUGAGAUCGAAGAUAAUGGAGAGAGACUGCAAGGAGGAAAAUUUGACGGUUGAGCUAAAGACUCUGCAUGGACAGCUCUUAGAUUUGCAAGUGGAUUACCAGAAUUUACGGAAAGAGAAAUGCAAGGUGGUUGAUGAGCAAAGAUUGCUAAUGAAAUCAAUCUCAGACUUGGGAGAAGAGAAAUGUAAUUUAGAAGAAGAGAACUGUGCCAUUUUUGCUGAGACAGUGUCUCUAAGUACAAUUUCUCUGAUUUUCAGGGAUAUUAUUGUUGAAAAAUUUUUGGAUAUAAAGGAGCUUAGUGAAAAUCUGGAUACACUUCAUGAUGUCAAUAAUGGCCUU